GAUGAACGCUGGCGGCGUGCCUAAUACAUGCAAGUCGAGCGAACAGACGAGGAGCUUGCUCCUCUGACGUUAGCGGCGGACGGGUGAGUAACACGUGGAUAACCUACAUAUAAGACUGGGAUAACUUCGGGAAACCGGAGCUAAUACCGGAUAAUAUAUUGAACCGCAUGGUUCAAUAGUGAAAGACGGUUUUGCUGUCACUUAUAGAUGGAUCCGCGCCGCAUUAGCUAGUUGGUAAGGUAACGGCUUACCAAGGCAACGAUGCGUAGCCGACCUGAGAGGGUGAUCGGCCACACUGGAACUGAGACACGGUCCAGACUCCUACGGGAGGCAGCAGUAGGGAAUCUUCCGCAAUGGGCGAAAGCCUGACGGAGCAACGCCGCGUGAGUGAUGAAGGUCUUCGGAUCGUAAAACUCUGUUAUUAGGGAAGAACAAAUGUGUAAGUAACUAUGCACGUCUUGACGGUACCUAAUCAGAAAGCCACGGCUAACUACGUG
rnacentral:rRNA from 1 species